GGAAUUCUGGGAGUUGAAGUCCACCCAUUUUAAAGCCACCAAGGGUGAGAAACACUGCUUCAGAGCAACCCUAAAUCAUUUGGCUAUCAUGUGAAAUAGUUGAAAACUGCACUGAGGAGAGGGGUUAUCUUAGUGGUUGUGGUUCAAAUAGUAUUGCAAGAGACACCCCCCCCCCGUUGCCUACAUUAUGUUUACUUAGUUGAAUAGAAUGUGUUGUGGCAUUUAUACAAACAACAUUGCAGUGAACAUUUGAGGGUGGGGGGAGGAAGAACAGGAGCAGGCUGAAACCUUUAAUGCCAUGUAUUUUGAGUGUGUAUCCAAAGCAAGCAUUUACCACUGGUGUGUAAUAUGUGAUGGUAAGUUUGCUCAAACACAUUUCAAAUCUCUGCUUUUUUUUAAAAAAAAAAAGUUUUGUAAUGAUUCUUUUCUAUCCACCCCCCUCCCCAAAGUAACUAUUCAGAGAGAGGCACUUAAGAUGUUUUAAAGAGUAGGAAUAAUAAAAUUUGCCUUUUUAAAAAAAUUAUUUAACUAUUCAAACAUGCCCUUGUGAAAUGGAUAUGUUUUGAUUAAAGGGGAACUAGAACAAUCCCAUAUAUUAUUUUAAAUGGGUUCAAAAAUUCUAUUGUAGCAGUGCCUGAGAUGGAUUAUAAUGUAUAGUACUCUAAACUUGCUUGUUCCCGUUUAAAAUACUUUACAAUAUGAUUUGAGUUCAGAUUUGCUAGCCAUGAUACUCAUUGAUUUCAAGUUGUUUUAAGCAGUUAGCUUUCUACUAAAGCAGCCUAUUGGAUUGUGAACAAUAUAUGGUCUUCCUUUUUCCUUCUUAAAUGACUCCUGUAUUUCUGUUCUGACUUUGAAAACACUUUUAUCACAUGUCAUGCAUAGGAAUUAAUUUGCAGUUGUAGUCAUUAUUUAUCAAUAGAAAUUAGUAAUGCUUAUGUAAAUGGCCAUGGCUUUUUACUGAUAUAUUUUAGCAAUUCCAACCUUUUUUUAAGCAUGGUUCAUCAUUUAAUAAGGAUCAAACGGCUAAAAGAAACCCAUAGUGUGAUUUCUUUGUUUUUCUUCAGAUAGAUGGAAAGUUCUGUAAUAUGUAUAAUAGCUGACCAUGAAUUAGAUUGUACAUUCUUUCUAGUUGAGCGUAUGUUAACAUGUGGUCCAGAAUCACUGCUAUAAAGCCACUGUUUCCAUCAAAAUGGUGUGACAUUUUUGAGAAUCCAAUCAAAACAAUCUUUAUUAUGGUCAUAGACCAUAAUGGAAGUUAUGCAAUGCACAUGGCCUUAACAGAUAACCGUAUGGUGGUGGCAGCUCAUACAGAGCUCUAGGUGGUG